AUUGAACGCUGGCGGCAGGCUUAACACAUGCAAGUCGAGCGGAGAUGAGGUGCUUGCACCUUAUCUUAGCGGCGGACGGGUGAGUAAUGCUUAGGAGUCUGCCUAUUAGUGGGGGACAACAUUCCGAAAGGAAUGCUAAUACCGCAUACGUCCUACGGGAGAAAGCAGGGGAUCUUCGGACCUUGCGCUAAUAGAUGAGCCUAAGUCGGAUUAGCUAGUUGGUGGGGUAAAGGCCUACCAAGGCGACGAUCUGUAGCGGGUCUGAGAGGAUGAUCCGCCACACUGGGACUGAGACACGGCCCAGACUCCUACGGGAGGCAGCAGUGGGGAAUAUUGGACAAUGGGGGGAACCCUGAUCCAGCCAUGCCGCGUGUGUGAAGAAGGCCUUAUGGUUGUAAAGCACUUUAAGCGAGGAGGAGGCUACUGAGACUAGUACUCUUGGAUAGUGGACGUUACUCGCAGAAUAAGCACCGGCUAACUCUGUGCCAGCAGCCGCGGUAA
rnacentral:rRNA from 1 species